rnacentral:lncRNA from 1 species
GUUAGUGCCGAUCGUUGCCAAGCUACCGAUAUCAGCAAAACGACGCCAUUUUAUGCUGCCGCAUCUGCUGUCUCUUUGUUCUCAAUCUAUAACCUGCCUUGGAUUUUGAGCAUCGCUUGAGUUUUUAAACAUGCAGUCAAGUAGCUGUGUUCAAGAUUUUGGCAGUGAAGAAGAAACAGAAACCCUCCCAGCCGUCCUUCCUGAGAAGCACGAUGUCCCGUCCCGUGUCAUCCGAGUGGUCAAAAGCGCCUUCACCUCUAGCAAAAACGUUUAAUUAAAGCUUUCCUUGGAACAAGUUCCAGGAUAUUUUGUUGGGUUCAUGAACUUUUCAUCUUGUUAAUUAUUUCCAUAUGGUUUCAGUUGUAUGAAUAAAUGUUUUUGUUGUUCAAA